rnacentral:tRNA from 1 species
CAAGUUAUUCUAGAAGUUAGAAGUUUCAUUUACAUUGAGAAUUUUAUUGUGCAAUUCAAUAUAACUUGA